GUCGGAUCCAUCUGAAAAUUUCAGGGCAGAUAGAUCUUGACAUGAUAAACAAUUUCACUCCGUCAGAUUUGCUCUAAAUGCUUUGAUUUUUGAGUUAUAAGCCAAAAACUGUAUUUUACCCCUAUGUUCUAUAUUUAGCCGUGGCGGCCAUCUUGGUGGGAUGGCCGGGUCACCGGACACAUUUUUCAAACUACAUACCCCAAAGAUGAUUGUGGCCAAGUUUGGAUUAAUUUAGCCCAGUAGUUUCAGAGGAGAAGAUUUUUGUAAAAGAUUACUAAGAUUUAUGAAAAAUGGUUAAAAAUUGAC
rnacentral:lncRNA from 1 species